UACGUAGGGUGCAAGCGUUGUCCGGAAUUAUUGGGCGUAAAGAGCUCGUAGGCGGUUUGUCGCGUCUGCUGUGAAAAUCCAGGGCUUAACCCUGGACCUGCAGUGGGUACGGGCAGACUGGAGUGCGGUAGGGGAGAUCGGAAUUCCUGGUGUAGCGGUGAAAUGCGCAGAUAUCAGGAGGAACACCGGUGGCGAAAGCGUUCUGCUAGACCUGUACUGACACUGAGGGACGAAAGCUAGGGGAGCGAAUGGG
rnacentral:rRNA from 1 species